AGAGUUUGAUUCUGGCUCAGAACGAACGCUGGCGGCGUGGAUAAGACAUGCAAGUCGAACGAGAGAAUUGCUAGCUUGCUAAUAAUUCUCUAGUGGCGCACGGGUGAGUAACACGUGAGUAACCUGCCCCCGAGAGCGGGAUAGCCCUGGGAAACUGGGAUUAAUACCGCAUAGUAUCGAAAGAUUAAAGCAGCAAUGCGCUUGGGGAUGGGCUCGCGGCCUAUUAGUUAGUUGGUGAGGUAACGGCUCACCAAGGCGAUGACGGGUAGCCGGUCUGAGAGGAUGUCCGGCCACACUGGAACUGAGACACGGUCCAGACACCUACGGGUGGCAGCAGUCGAGAAUCAUUCACAAUGGGGGAAACCCUGAUGGUGCGACGCCGCGUGGGGGAAUGAAGGUCUUCGGAUUGUAAACCCCUGUCAUGUGGGAGCAAAUUAAAAAGAUAGUACCACAAGAGGAAGAGACGGCUAACUCUGUGCCAGCAGCCGCGGUAAUACAGAGGUCUCAAGCGUUGUUCGGAAUCACUGGGCGUAAAGCGUGCGUAGGCUGUUUCGUAAGUCGUGUGUGAAAGGCGCGGGCUCAACCCGCGGACGGCACAUGAUACUGCGAGACUAGAGUAAUGGAGGGGGAACCGGAAUUCUCGGUGUAGCAGUGAAAUGCGUAGAUAUCGAGAGGAACACUCGUGGCGAAGGCGGGUUCCUGGACAUUAACUGACGCUGAGGCACGAAGGCCAGGGGAGCGAAAGGGAUUAGAUACCCCUGUAGUCCUGGCAGUAAACGGUGCACGCUUGGUGUGCGGGGAAUCGACCCCCUGCGUGCCGGAGCUAACGCGUUAAGCGUGCCGCCUGGGGAGUACGGUCGCAAGAUUAAAACUCAAAGAAAUUGACGGGGACCCGCACAAGCGGUGGAGUAUGUGGCUUAAUUCGAUGCAACGCGAAGAACCUUACCUGGGCUUGACAUGUAAUGAACAACAUGUGAAAGCAUGCGACUCUUCGGAGGCGUUACACAGGUGCUGCAUGGCCGUCGUCAGCUCGUGUCGUGAGAUGUUUGGUUAAGUCCAGCAACGAGC
rnacentral:rRNA from 2 species